UCACGUUGAAACAUUAGUUCCAAUACGAUUACUGAAGUUAAGCAACGUCGAGCCUGGUCAGUACCUAGAUGGGUGACCGCUUGGAAAUACCAGGUGCUGUAAG
rnacentral:rRNA from 1 species